GAUGAACGCUGACAGAAUGCUUAACACAUGCGAGUCAACUUGAAUUUGGGUUUUUAACUUAGGUUUGGGUGGCGGACGGGUGAGUAACGCGUAAAGAACUUGCCUCACAGCUAGGGACAACAUUUGGAAACGAAUGCUAAUACCUAAUAUUAUGAUAAUAGGGCAUCCUAUAAUUAUGAAAGCUAUAAGCGCUGUGAGAGAGCUUUGCGUCCCAUUAGCUAGUUGGAGAGGUAACGGCUCACCAAGGCGAUGAUGGGUAGCCGGCCUGAGAGGGUGAUCGGCCACAAGGGGACUGAGACACGGCCCUUACUCCUACGGGAGGCAGCAGUGGGGAAUAUUGGACAAUGGACCAAGAGUCUGAUCCAGCAAUUCUGUGUGCACGAUGAAGUUUUUCGGAAUGUAAAGUGCUUUCAGUUGGGAAGAAAGAAAUGACGGUACCAACAGAAGAAGUGACGGCUAAAUACGUG
rnacentral:rRNA from 1 species